GAUUGUGCUCUUUCCUUCACACCCUGUGUUUCUCUCAUCAUCUUAUAAAUACCGAUCCCGAUCCUCUGCCACUCGGAACUUUUCCUGUUCGCUUAGGGGCGAGCAAGAGAGGACACCUAUGUUUGAUAGUGAACAGAGGGGGAAACCAUCAACAUGGUAGAAUUCUCUCAAGAAGAUUUACUAGUGUGCUCUAUGGGAAAUUCUUUAAUCAUCAGGUGAGGUGUAUGGAAGGCCUGUUCCCAAGUUUGAGGUCCCACCAAAAAAAAUUGUGCCAGUUUAAUGUCUGGGGCGUCUGUCAAGCUAAUGGCUCUCUGUUAGGUGUCCUGUGUUUUACAUGGCUGGAAGAUGCGGGGGGGCAUCUUUGCUGAAGACAUUAUGCCUUGUGAUCCCUAUUUGUAUGAGCCAUUGGCUCUUGAAUGUGAUGCUUGUUUGUGCCAGUUUAAUGCAAAAGUUUCCUAAUUCUUAUCCA